rnacentral:rRNA from 1 species
UACGAAGGGGGCUAGCGUUGUUCGGAAUCACUGGGCGUAAAGCGUACGUAGGCGGACCGUUAAGUCGGGGGUGAAAUCCCAGGGCUCAACCCUGGAACUGCCUUCGAUACUGGCGGUCUGGAGUCCGGGAGAGGUGAGUGGAACUCCUAGUGUAGAGGUGAAAUUCGUAGAUAUUAGGAAGAACACCAGUGGCGAAGGCGGCUCACUGGGCCCGGUACUGACGCUGAGGUACGAAAGCGUGGGGAGCAAACAGGG